rnacentral:lncRNA from 1 species
AUGUCAACAACGCAUCGCCUCUACUUUUACCAAAAAAUAGGCGCACAAAACUCCCCUGUUUGCGCCCGCGGCCACCUGUCUCCGCCUCCUCGCAGGAAGCGGUCCCGGCGCGUGGGCUCGGGCUCGGGCGGGGCGUGGGCCGCGGUCCCGGAAGGGGUGAAGCGCCCGGCGGGCGGGCGCGGGGCAGGGAGGCCAGGGAGCCGCAGCCGCUCCGCAGCCCGUCCGCAGACCCGGCCAGGCGGCGCGCCCCGAACGCCCCGUGCCCGCCCCGCCCGCCCUCCCCGCAUCCCGCGCGCGCCCCUAGCAGCCGGGAGCCGGAGCGCUGGCUCCGCGCGGCCUGGAGAGGCGGAGAGGCCGGUCCGCCGCCCCUCUGCCGCCCACGCCCCGCUGCGGGUCGGAGGAGCAGGAGCGCUCGCAGGUGCUCGGAGAGGCCGGGCCGCGGCUCCCACAGGUGCCGGAGGAGGCCGCGCAUGCGCCGGAGCCCACCCGCCAGGCUGCGCGUCCCGGGCCCGGGGGCUGAAGAGGAGCCGCGGCGAGUCACCACAGUUGCUGACACCUCAAAGGACUGCUAAACCCAAAGGCCGACUCCUCUCCAUCUAUUUUAAGGAACAAGAGAAUGGUGAGAGGACGCGGAAACACCUGAUAUCCCAGCAAAGGAAGCUGCAGAGGAAGGGUCCUGCCCCGUGAGCAAGGACGGCCUCCAGGAGCACAGCGGCUUCUCCUGACACCCCCCUGGCAGUGAAUUACGGAUGACCCCGUAUCUGGGGAGGUGCGGACGCCGACACACGGGGAGAGCUCAUGAGACCAGCGCGCAGGACCAGUGUCCUCCCCGUGACCUUGCAGUUGUGUAGCCACAAGUGGGAGCCACAAAGAAGGAGAGCCCACAGGGGGACUCUUUUCAAGACAUGGGGUUAAAUCGGGGCUCUGAAGUUGGGGCCACGGCUGAUCUCAGCUUUCUGCGUCCUGGGGGUGCUGUGAUAUGAUGGAAUGUGAAGUGAGUGGUUGACCACGGACUCCUGAAAGGGCGCAGCAGAUACCUGGUUAUCCGCUACUGCAGAGACACCUGGUCAGCCGGCGUUGCAGAGAGGGACAGCUAGUCACUCAGACUACAGAGAGAGACACCUGGUCACUCAGACUGCAGAGAGACACCUGGUCACCCAGGCUGCAGAAACAACCGGAGUCAACUGCAGCUCCAGUCAGUGCUGUAUGUUGGCUGACGUGGUCUUGCACCGGCUGGAGAUCCAUUCACCAAGACUCUCUGGGCAGAUUUAAAGUGAUUGGGGUUCAGAAGUUCAGCAAGAGUUGGACACACCCCUCCUCACUGGAGAGGAGAGGGGAAAGGCGGGGGACGGGGAGCAGCGUGUGAGAUUACCCCCCUCACACACACACACACAGCAAAAAAGCGUGGACACACAGAAGUGAAAUCUGAUCGCGUGCCAGGAAAAGCUGUGAGGCUGGAAACCCCGGAGUAACGCUCGACCUUGGCCAGACCUGCAGGCUGUGGAGCCGGGAGAGUGC